GAACAUGCGAUGAGAAAGAAGAGUACAUAUUGCGAUGCCUUCAGAGAGCUUGUGGCUGGUGGGAACAAGCGGCUAGCAAUAUGGAAUGGGCUUUCGAGCAUCCGGCUGAACGAGAGUAGGCUUUGGACGCCUGCCUUGCGUUAUCAAGGCGCCAUGCGCAUACAGGCAUGGGCAGAGUGAUUGCACCAUAUGUGCAAUAACUAGGGUGGCAACGCGGUCCUAUCGUCCCUAAC
rnacentral:ncRNA from 1 species